rnacentral:rRNA from 1 species
AUUGAACGCUGGUGGCAUGCCUUACACAUGCAAGUCGAACGAGAACGGGUUAUAGCUUGCUAUAAUUGUCAGCUAAGUGGCGCACGGGUGAGUAAUGUAUAGGUAAUAUGCCUCUUACUAAGGGAUAACAAAUGGAAACGUUUGCUAAUACCUUAUACUCCUUAUUAACAUAAGUUAAUAAGGGAAAGAUUUAUUGGUAAGAGAUUAGCCUGUAUUGUAUCAGUUAGUUGGUGGGGUAAUGGCUUACCAAGACUAUGACACUUAACGGGUUUGAGAGGAUGAUCAGUCACACUGAAACUGAGACACGGUCCAGACUCCUACGGNNGGCAGCAGUGGGGAAUAUUGCACAAUGGACGAAAGUCUGAUGCAGCAACGCCGCGUGGAGGAUGACACAUUUCGGUGCGUAAACUCCUUUUAUAUGAGAAGAUAAUGACGGUAUUAUAUGAAUAAGCACCGGCUAACUCCGUGCCAGCCGCCGCCGUAACA